rnacentral:rRNA from 1 species
GACGAACGCUGGCGGCGUGCUUAACACAUGCAAGUCGAACGGAACGGUCCUGCUUUUGUGCGGUGCUCGAGUGGCGAACUGGUGAGCAACACGUGAGUAACCUGCCCUUGACUUUGGGAUAACUUCAGGCAACUUGGUCUAAUCCCGGAUAGGAGCUCCUGCCGCAUGGUGGGGGUUGGAAAGUUUCGGCGGUUGGGGAUGGACUCGCGUCUUAUCAGCUUGUUGGUGGGGUAGUGUCUUACCAAGGCUUUGACGGGUAGCCGGCCUGAGAGGGUGACCGGCCACAUUGGGACUGGGAUACGGCACAGACUCCUACGGGAGGCAGCGGUGGGGAGUAUUGCACAAGGGGCGGAAGCCUGAUGCAGCCAAGCAGCGUGGGGGAUGAGGGGAAUGGGGUAGGAAACCGAUUUCGCCUGUGACGAAGCGUGAGUGACGGUAAUGGGUAAAGAAGCACCGGCUAACUACGUG